UACGUAGGGUGCAAGCGUUAAUCGGAAUUACUGGGCGUAAAGCGUGCGCAGGCGGUUCUAUAAGACAGAUGUGAAAUCCCCGGGCUCAACCUGGGAACUGCAUUUGUGACUGUAGAGCUGGAGUACGGUAGAGGGGGAUGGAAUUCCGCGUGUAGCAGUGAAAUGCGUAGAUAUGCGGAGGAACACCGAUGGCGAAGGCAAUCCCCUGGACCUGCACUGACGCUCAUGCACGAAAGCGUGGGGAGCAAACAGG
rnacentral:rRNA from 1 species